rnacentral:misc_RNA from 1 species
CAUUAACAGUUUACAGCAGAAGCUAAUCUUGCCUUGACUGCGGUGUGGUGUAGCAGAGCUAGGAAGUGGUGGCAGGAGACGCUGGUGCUACCUCUGUGCCCGAGCUCACACACAGGAGCAGGUGGAGUACCAACACCCAGCCCGAAGGUACUCUCUGCCGCUCCCUGCUACCGACCGACCGACCAGCCACUGACUGAAGCCUGCCUCCACACUCGAUCCAUCGUGUCUCUUGUUAUAGCUGUGAGCGCGCUCAGUGACAGUGGAGGAGGGUGAGCUUGUCUACCUGCACACUGCCUCCACCUCGGCCUAAUGUUUUGACAGUCUGUUGACGUGGGUUUGGAUACGUACACAGACAGCCAGGGAAGACGAAGGGAGGCAGGCACCCGGAUUAAUACAUUGGUGGAUGUGGUGAGACGCUCAGCAACACCUAAUUGGUCGAUGACCAGAGGCGUACCUUCAGGCCAGGAUGGGAUGCUGCAACUCCAAGAAACUGCCAGAUGAGGACAUCGAGUUCCUUGUGUCCAACACCAACUUUGAGAAGGGCGAAAUUCUCAAGUGGUACAAGGGCUUCAUGGAAGACUGCCCAGAUGGACAACUGUCAAAGGAGAAGUUCAAGAAUGUCUAUGCCAACUUCUUCCCGGGAGGAAAUCCAGAUGCCUUUUGUGAGCAUGUGUUCCGGUCGUUUGACCGUGAUGGAAGUGGGUCAAUAGAAUUCAAGGAGUUUCUAAUGGCGAUCAACAUCACAUCACAGAAAGGCAAAGCAGAGGACAAACUCAACUGGGCUUUUGACAUGUACGACAUUGAUGGGAAUGGAACCAUUGAAAAGAACGAGAUGGAGAGCAUUAUAGAGGCCAUCUACAGCAUGCUGGGGAGCCAUCUGUCAGACGAUGUCACAGACUCGCCGACAGUACGGACAGAAAAAAUAUUUGACACGAUGGACGUGAACAAAGAUGGCGUAUUGACAAAGGAGGAGUUUAUUAAAGGUUGUAUGGAGGACACGAUGUUGUACCAGAUGCUGACGGCAGAUGCAGAAGCCUCAAAGGAGUAAUACCACACUCUCAUUCCACAUGCCUCACCAGGAACAUGGGCCUUAACAUGCAUUUUCAAAUCAAAAGAUAUAUGUAUCGGAUUUAUGCAAGGGAGAUAACUCUGUGCACAGAGAAAGAUCAGUCGCUGAGGCAAAGGUCAAGGUCAAGAUCAUUCACAGGAAGUGAUUCUGUGGAAUUGAUGUCAUCACUUUUCAAGAAUAUAAAGAAGCAAAUUCAACUCAGUCAAUACAGUGAUUAGCUUACCAAUGACACCAGAAAAUAUUAUUGGGAUAUGUUCUACAAAAAAAUACUUUCGAAUGUAAUAAUAUCAACAGUGAUCCGGCCAAUGCAGUUUGUAUUCAAUGAACAGUUUUGAGAGAAAUUGAGGGCGAUCAUUUUGGAGCAGUCCACCUUCCUUUUUUCUCUGUAUGUAUAUAUAUAGAGAGAGCAUGUUUUUGUUACAAAGGUCAGUCUGAUCUAAUGCUGAUGGAUUACCUGGAGAAAGAGCCCACAACAAAUUCAUGUAAUACGGACCAACUUCAUGUCACCAUGGCAACUGUUUGUAAGAGCAGGAUCCUGUCUCUGUGGGGGAAUCAUCCCAUGUUUGUCUGCAGUGUAUGCAUGGUGUCAUGCAUAUUGUAUGUGUCCUUGUCAGUGCUUCUAUAGUAAGAGGAGACACCUGUAUGUAUCUGUACAUGGUGCAGCUGAACAUUCUCUAGAGCAGCUUCUGGUGGACUAAACCAGUUUGCAGCAGCUAUUAGCAAGACAGUUGGUUUAAAGGGGCUCUCUGAUCACAGUUUAUCAGAAAGCUCCAUUAGCUAUGGAGUGGUUUACCAAUAAAGUGUGCAACACCAUGCUUGAAACAAGACUUAAAUAUACCAAUAUUUUAACAGUGGCAUUCAAAGAGUCCCUUUAACAUUUAGACUUCACUCCACACAUUCCCAAAACAGCAAGUUUUAUGUUGUUACCUCCACCAGGUUUUGUUGUGCAUAAACUGAUAGAACAGGAUAGCUGUUAGUAAUUUCUUCCUUUGAAGACACAUUAAUAACAUUGGAAGGUCAGAUUUUUUUAAGAUGCAAGAAGACAAUUCUUUAUACCUGACAUUAAUUUGUCUGCCUUUGCAAACAUAUGAGUCAUUGAUACAAGGGCUAUCCCCACAUGGCAAGUGGCUAUGAAUAGAAAAGAAUAGAAAAAAAAAUGUUUCCCUUUUCAUCAAUUACUCCCAGAAGCCAGUGUGAAGUUUUUCUUUUUCUGAAAAGGUCCUAUAGGAAAUACCAAAAUCUGAUCUUGCAGUUUGCAUGAAGACAUUUAACUGUUUUUGUGUUGUAUUUCCCCACCUAGACAGGUUCCUGGUUUAAAUGUACUAGGCCAUGUCAUUCAAUUUGUGUCCUUUCAGGAGGAGAUACCACAUCAUUCAUCUUUUAGAAGCUUUUUGUUUCCAGCCCAAGCGCUGAUGUUUGUUCCCAGUUUGUAUACCUAUGUCAUCUAACCGCCAGGAGAAGGAUGGUUUGUGGUCACAGAACUGCACAUUCUGUGUCUGGAAGAUAGAAUGCCAUAUUCUGCAUUCAAGAAACAGAACGGCAUAUUCUAUGUUCUGGAGAGGAAAGGUUUGGAAGCAUAGUCUGUGUUCUGGAGAUGAACUGGCAUAUUCUGUGUUCUGGAGAUGAACUGGCAUAUUCUGUGUUCUGGAGAUGAAAUGGCAUAUUCUGUGUUCUGGAGUUGAAAUGGCAUUUUCUGUGUUCUGGAGAUGAAAUGGCAUAUUCUGUGUUCUGGAGAUGAAAUUCUAUAUUCUGUGUUCUGGAGAUGAAAUUCUAUAUUCUGUGUUCUGAAGAUGAAAUUCUAUAUUCUGUGUUCUGUGUUUCAUGUCAUAGAGGACGCUUGUGGAGGGUGAGGAGCCUACUUGGAGGGGCGCUAAUGGAUUCCACUUUUGAAUGAUUGAUGCCAUCUUGACACUUUGUCAAACCGUUACCACAUUUCAGUUGAAUAUCUGAAUAUAUAUAUAAAUAUAUAUAUCACUAUUAUUUGUACUCUCUGUAGUGGAGUUUGUGGAAGUCUCACAUGGCUGUUGACGAUUGUACUGACUGGUGUGUCAACACAACACUGACAUGAAGGUAAACAGGACACUUUCAAAUCAACAACGUAGGAAUAUCACAUAUGCAUGAGAAACAGAUUGCAGAAUUAAUUGUAGAAUUCAAAAUUGCUAAACAAAUAGAAUAUGACUGAUACGAUAAAACAAUGUCCACGUCUGUUGACAUGAAAGGCCAUAAAUGCUCUAUUUGAAACCAAAUCAUCUGACAUUCUACUCUGAACAGUUCUGGUUCUUUUACGAAUGCUUCAGAAGUCAUAGAUUUUAUGAGUGCUUCAGAGCUGCAAGUCAGCCUGCUUCAUGAGCUGUGCAGGAACAUAGAGCUGGUGUGACUCCAAUCCGUGGUGUGUUACAUACUGCUGGGGCCUCUACCUUGUUAGAUACUGAGGUUGUGUAAUGGCCUGGUAUCUCUUGUCUGCCAUUAUCACUGCACACAACAGCCUUGUUAGCAGGAAUAGAGCACAUCAUAGCCAGGGAAUAAUCAGUCUCAAUUAUGUCACGAAACAGAUUCCAUUGGAUGUAAAAGGCAGAAUAGUGGUGGACAUUUUAUGAAGACUUCAUCAUUUUUUUAAGCUUGUCUUUGUUUACUCUCCCAUCUGUUGACUUCUUUUGGCAUCAGAAACCUAAAAUAAAGAAAUAUAAACAAUCUCAGCAGUUUGGGUGAAUAUUCUUACAUGAAAAAACAAGCAUUUAAGGUGUAAUUUAGUGUUUAUAACUUUGCCUCUGCGAUGUGUCAUUUGUAAAACACAACAUGUACUGCAGAAACGAGUUAAAUAAUACCAGUUAUCCAAUGUAUUUUCAAAAUGGAGCGAUAAAUAUAUUUCUUGAGAAAACAUACCUCCAUGAUUCUGUAGAAUGAAGUUACAUUGAUACUUGUUGGCAGUUCCUCUGUGCCAACGAUCCAAGUGAGUGUUUCAUUGUUUCUUGCUUUCAGUUGAGUGUGUGAGUGGUUUGCUUACCUGAGUCAUGUAAAAAAAAUGUCCCCCCUCCCUAGCUGAUGUAGGUAAAGUAGGUUUGACAUGUUCUUGCACAAUGCAGUCAGACAUUGGUGUACGGCCUUGUGAAUCUUGAACUGAAUCAUUCAUCAGAACACUUACAUUGUCAGUGCUAUGUGUGCAAAACUGAUUCUACAAGCCCAACAUGGACAUCAGCAUGUUCAAAGAUGACAUUUAUUGUUUUCCAGCUAAUUGUUUGGACUGUGAAAGGCAGGAAAUGUCUGUCUACUUUAUUGCUAAGUGCUGUAUCUGCUCCCUGUGUUAGCACACAUCUCUAAACACAUGCAAUCAAUUACAUCCUGUACAAUCAUCAAAAUCUGCUUUAUGAAAACCUUUAAUCUUUACGUUAAGUCUUCAUUAGUCAGGAACAUCAGGAGACUUGAAAUAAACUUGAGCUUGUGUAUCUAGUGUCUUGAAUUCUUCACCCAAUUAUCAAAUAUAAUAUUUUUCAUUAUGUUCAGCAUAAAAAGAAAUGCAACAUUGGACAAAACAUAUUCCCAGUCUGUCAAGAUGAUUGUGUACGUACACCUAGAAAAUGUGGGCUACACAAGUAGCCCGCCAUUACCAGGAUGGAAUUACUGUCAUUCACGGAUGGCAUGAUCAUAUAGUUUUCAUGACAUAUCGAUUAACGCACAUUUUGACUGCAGUCAAGAAAAAGAGUUACCUCAUUGUAGGUUAAAAACCAGGGAAACAUGAUGAGAUCAGUGGAGAAAAUGUGUAAUACCCUGGGGAAGUCGUCACAGUAUCUUCUACCAGAAGUUGCCAGUGGUUUCCUUGCACUGUGUAUUGUGCUUUCAAGAUAACGUUUCCAGUAUCAUCGAUAUUGUUUUGUGUAUGUGGUUUAGUGUCUCACUCAAUUUUUAAUCUGAGAAGCAGUGGCAACUUGCAGGAGAAGAUACUGAGAGGGACGUGGACUCUGGCAAAGUUUGUGUUACUUGUGACCCCUUCUAUAUCAUGUGAUGGAAACUAUAUUAUGUGUAGGAGAGAUCGGUUUCUUACCACGGAACACCAGAACCACAACUUGGUGAGAGGUUGUUUAUCAUUCACCUUAUGGAGGCCGGGAGUAUGUUUGAAAUUUUGAAAAUAGAAAAUAUUUUUUGUUAUUCCAAGCUAUAUGAAACAGUAUUUUAAUAUUCUUGUGACAACACAUUAGGCACUUCACAUUAAGUGACAGAAAUGUAUUAUUUUGAAUAAUCUUUAUGACAAAAUAUACAUUUGAUUUUUUUUUGUCAUGUAAAAUACUACUGGUAAUUCAUUUUUUUAGACACUUGGAAUUGGAUGGCGUGAAAGGUGAAUCAUGAGUCAUGAUGACAUCCUAUAUACACACCGAUGUAUAUCUUUAUCUAACUGCCUUGUUGUAUUCGCUGUCAAGACACAACAUCCUGUUAGGUGACAUCAGUCCAUUUAUUCCCAGAAGCCAUUCAGAGCUGGCCAGGCGUUACACUGAUUAACAGCCUGGUUCAUACAAGAAACAUACUGCAUGGGCAAUGAAGCUUCUGUGCGGAGCAUUUGACUGGCUUAGAAUUGCAUUAUUAAGAUGUUAAGAGGAUUCAGAGUACUGGUGUGAUGAUGCUAAAGGAAUUAAACCAACUAUUUGCAGACAUAUUAAGGCACAAGUCUCAGAAGAAAGAAACCUUAUACCUAGUCCUGUCAACUGUCCAGAGUGUUACCUUCUCAUAAGAAGUCUAUGUCUAAGUAUAGUGGUGUAGCCGAGUGGUUAAAGCGUUCUCUCAUAACGCGGAAGACCAGGGUUCAAUUCCCUACAUGUGUACAUUGUAUGAAGCCCUUUACUGGUGUUCGCAGCCAUGAUAUUGCUGGAAUAUUGCUAAAAGCCACGGAAAACCAAACUCACUCACUAUGUCCGAGUGAUAAUUUUAUGUUUUGAGCUACAUGGUAUAUGUUCAAAAUAUUUUACCAACAACAGUCUUCAUACUAACAAAAGUUAUUUUGGGAAAGAGAUUCUUAACCGUUGUUUCCAGCAAUAAGAUGUGCCACGCCUCACAAAGAACAAACAGACACUCCUGUACGAUCUCAACGUGAAGAAAGUGUAUACACAUCAGUAUACAUCUAUAUUCCAUCUUCAUGUCAGUGUGUGUUGUGUUUACAGAGAUGUCAGAUUUCACAGUCAACCUGUCAACCCUUUCAUGGCUAUACCAGUAGGCAGUUCUUCACUCCAAGGGGAAAUGUGCAGUUGUAUUUUUCAAGAUUUGGAACUAUGCAUUGCAUGUCAGCAUCCCCUCACUGGUCCUGCAAUGUUAUAACACAGUUAUAACACAGUUGUACAAGUAUAGGCUGCCAUCAUGAAGGAAGCAGUCACAGACUAGCAAAACAAUAUUACGGAGUCAAACAUUCUUUUGUGCAUUAUUUGUUGAAACAUUGAUAUGUGUUUGCAAAUAUUGUACCAGUAAGCAAUUCAAGAAAUAUUUAGCAUUUGUAACAAAUCUCAAUCCUCUUUAAACCAUCCAUUGAAAAAAUAGUGCAGCCCUAUACUUUAUCCACUUGGUUGAUCUUUGUAGUGUGUUAUUCGUAGUCUGACAUUCUUCAGUAGGAAACCUGCCUCUACCUGGUGUCUCAUGUUCUCAUGUUAUGAGUUCUGUAUUGGGACGAUUAUUGUCAUUAAUACAGUAUACAUGAAAAUCAAUGUCAUCUUGUGGGAAAAUGUAAAUUGUUGACAAUAUUUACGUUUAGUAAGUUUAUAGAUUAUUUACAGUUUUUUAAAAAGAAAAUGUAUGUUAAAUUUUCCAUUGAUUUUAAAUGUUUAUGUUUUGUUAUGAUACUAUCCAAACCUGUAUAUUGAUGAUCUGUGUUCUGGCAUUGUGUUGCCAUGUGUUUCAUCACCAUGAAUGUACCCACCACACCAUGUUAUACAAUAGCAUAUUUCUAUGUUCAUAGUUUACUUGUAUAUUUGGAUCCAUUUAGCCUUACAUUUUGGUGAUGGGUAGGUGUCCUGCUACUGGCUUGUUGAUUAUCUUACAAUGAUAUUUGUAGUUGUAUUACUAGAAACAUUUUGCAAAGGGCUGUUGAGUCAGAUGCCAUGUUCAAAUCCAAUCAGAUAUUGGCCAAAAAUUAUUUUCUAUAAAAGUGUAACUUGCUAGUAAUGGACCAGGUUUUAUUGUAAACGUUAUGGACAAGAAAUUUCAGGGGAGUGUUGCCAUGGUUGACAAUGACUGUUUGGUGUUUGUCGGGCUCUGACUCAAAACACAACCCAAGAAUGAUUAGUACGUACAAGAAGGAUGUCAUCAAAUUUCUGGGGGAUCUCAUUUUGUCAUGUGGCAUUUGACGCGUGUGACAUUUGUCAACACAGGUUCAAGGGAACAAUUCCUAUGUAUUCAUGCUUGGUUGUUACCAGACAUUGGAUGACAUCCCUUCUCACCAGUUUGCUGGAGCAGACUUGAACUGUUUGGCUAUGACUGACUUGCCUUGUACAAUUAGCAGUACCUGUAGCUAGUGUCCUGUACCACAUACUGUCCCACACACUCACCUGGCAGCCUGGCGGGGGAAGGGGGGGGGGGGCCAGGACCAAGUUCUUGAAGACAGUCUUGAUGGGGGGCCAGGACCAAGUUCUUGGAGACAGUCUUGAUGUCCUCAAACUCACGUGGCAGCCUGGCGGGGGAAGGGGGGGGCGAGGACCGAGUUCUUGUAGACAGUCUUGAUGUCCUCAAACUCACGUGGCAGCCUGGCAGGGGAAGGGGGGGGGGGGGGCGAGGACCGAGUUCUUGAAGACAGUCUUGAUGGGGGGCCAGGGCCAACAUCUGGACGAUAAUUGGGAUGCUGAGAGUGGGGGAAAAUGGGCCAUUUUGGUGGCCUGAGUCAGUGCACCUUUGUCAAUUUGCAUUGAGGGUGGACCGUGUGGACGGUGGGCCUUGUGUGUGGUUGAUAAUACUUAGGUGUUGAUGGUGACGAUGGAGGACGAUAGAGUGCCUUGGGUGUAGAUGAUGGGCCUUGGGUGUAGAUGGUUGGCCUUGGGUGUAGAUGAUGGGCCUUGGGUGUAGAUGAUGGGCCUUGGGUGUAGAUGGUGGGCCUUGAGUGUAGAUGGUUGGCCUUGGGUGUAGAUGGUGAAUCUUAGGUGGUGGGUGUACAGCACCUGGUGAGUGGAGCAUGAAUUGUAGAAUGACCUGGGUACAAUUUGUUUUAACAGAACCAUGCUGGCCAUCAAUGACACUACUCCCCUUACCGCCAUGCCGCCAGAUAAGUCAGGACUUUGCUGUUUUGGGAAAUCCUUGUUACCUUGUUUGGGCAUCAUCAAAUCAAGGGUGCACUUGUCAGAGGAUAUCAACUGCAAUAAACAUUCGAUGAAUAAAUCACUAUAACAAUAA